GACAUCAUAGCACAAUUCAUGAUUGGGUAUGUUCUACCAGGAAAACCAAUUGCAAAUCUGCUUUUCAAGAUUUACGGACGAAUCAGUACCAUCCAUGCUCUAUCUUUCUUAUCUGACCUUAAACUUGGGCACUACAUGAAAAUUCCUCCACGGUGCAUGUACACUGCUCAGGUUCUUGUAGCUCAAAAAUCUUGCAUCUUCUUGGUUUUGCUAACUUAUCGACAAAAAGAAUAAUUUUGCUUUCUCUUUUCUCAGCUGGUUGGUACUAUAGUGUCUGGUGUGGUGAACCUUGGAGUGGCAUGGUGGAUGUUGGAGAGCAUUGAGAACAUUUGUGACGUCGAAUCACUUCAUCCCGACAGCCAAUGGACUUGCCCCAAGUACAGAGUAACAUUUGAUGCUUC
rnacentral:lncRNA from 1 species